GUCACGUUGGGGGCCGAGGGGGCGGUAGUGCGGGGAGGCCGAGGGUUAGUGUGAAUUGCCGGGGGUAAAGCGUGCGCAAGCGGUUUGUUAAGCGAGAUGUGAAAGCCCUGGGCUCAACCUAGGAAUAGCAUUUCGAACUGGCGAACUAGAGUCUUGUAGAGGGGGGUAGGAUUCCAGGUGUAGCGGUGAAAUGCGUAGAGAUCUGGAGGAAUACCGGUGGCGAAGGCGGCCCCCUGGACAAAGACUGACGCUCAUGCACGAAAGCGUGGGGAGCAAACAGGAUUAGAUACCCGAGUAGUC
rnacentral:rRNA from 1 species